CUUCAAUGUAUCAAAGUCAUUUCUAAAGUUGUUUAUUCUCCUUUAAAAUGUCUCACUUUGCUACCGCCUGCCAGUCGAAUGUUGCUUGUCUCCGAAAACAAAAGGAAACUUUUUUAUUUCAUUUUUCUAUGCACUCCGUCUGAUUGUUCGAAACGUCAAGAAACGUGAAUGUGCUGCUGUCGAUAUUUGAAUUGUGGGUGCGGUGCAGCAAAUUUUACUUAGAGGGAAAAACCGCUGGUACGAGCUCGAAACUGUUUUACUACACUGGUCGCUACCGCACCCGAGAAUUCCGGAGGCCAACCAACUUGCAACGAUGCAGCCGCUUGAAGAGCAGGCGGAAAACCUGCCAGCCAGGCGGUAGCGGCCUUUUAACUUAGCCUUCUGUGUACUUUCGUUGCGUACAGACGUUGUGGAGGUGCGGAAGAGAGCAAGAGAGAUUCGGCAUGCACAAAAAGUAAAUCUAAUUGGUGCAGUGUUGGUUAAACUAUGGUGGCACAUGUGCUAGAAGGUGAUCUAAGUUAAGUAUCAUCCGCUAACGCAACGUUUAAUAAUUCUAGAACAGUUAUGAACUUGCUGACGCAAAACGAUAGCUUUAACGUUCUUCAAACUUAGCAAGCAGAGUGAAAAAUCGGCGAAUUUCGCACCAGCAGAAGCAGCAAACUUCAAAAUGUCUAGUGAAAUAAAUGACGUGCUGCCUCGACUGUGCCGGGCAGCAGUGUAGUGCAGUCUGCCAGCUUCGGUCUGUAGCCUCCUGAUGACUUUGGAAAUAGUCGGUACGGUUCACACACAGGUUCCGACGGCUAGGCUCAUGUUGGUUGAUUUCCCUGACGGCUCUUCUUCAGGCGGACUAGGCGGCCAGCCUGAGUAGGGUCAGGUGAACUCUUACCGAAAGCUGCCACUGGGUAGGGACCGAGGGGUUGGGGGAAUUUGUUGAAGGGUUGCACGACGGCUGCUAAGCCUGGCUACGAUUUAUGCCUCACCGUACAGGAACAUGGCAUGAGAAUACGGUUUGGGUGUACUACAGCCAGCGCAACCGUGGUAAUCCGGAAUAAACAUGUCAAAUCAAAAUCUGUACCACUUAGUCAGAAUAAAAAUGCAUUAAUAAUUUUUUAAAUGGAUAUUGAAGUGUUGUUUGUAGUUCGGCAAUAGUUUUACCUUACUUGCUAAUUGUGCAUGAAUUGUUAAAUAUUAAUGUCUUUCGAAUUGUCUACUGUUAAUUACUAUAUGAUUGAGUUACUCACUGGUUGUUGUUCGAAUUCUGCAACAAUAUUUUUUUGGAAACUGUCUGUAUUUUCAUUUAAAAUUAAUAAAAUACUUGAAUUUAAGAUCUUAUACUGAAAAAAAAAAAUCAAAAACAAUAAUCAAUCUACCGAAAGGAAACUAUCUAAAACUGUUGCCCCUUUUUUUCUUCUUAAUGGCCAUGCGUCUCCAUAAUGUUACGUUAUUAAUUAAUACUUCUGAAGCUCUACACUAAUCAUAGUUUUUACAGUUGUUCGUCUGAAAAAAAAAAAAUAACAACAAUACAUUUACAGUCUUGGAAAAAAAUUGUGAAGAAGAGAUAAACUGUGUUCUUUUUUUUUUUUUUUUUUUUAUUUAAGGGGGGAUUUGUUAGUAGCUUAAGUAUUUAUGAUAAAUAUUAGUAAAUAAUGAGUAUGUGUGUCCAAUCACAAAUGGUGACUUCUCAACACUGUUAGAAAUUUGAAAUUUUAAUUGUUAGGAUUUGUUUGCUUUCGCAAUAAGGACUUAUCAUUCGUAGGGAUUUAAACCUACUUGUCAGAAAAGGGGAAGUAAACUUACUACUAACUUAAUUGCUAACUUAUUGGCUAUAAAGAGAGCUUAUCGUAGCAAUUGAGGAUUGCAACGAUUUUUGUCGAAAAUUGUUAAUAAUUUUAUUUGACAUAGCUUCUAAUGGUUCAACACCAGUAAGUCUAUGUAAUUCGAGUGUACCAAACCAAGGAGGACGCUUCAAAAUCAUUUUCAGAAUUUUAUUCUGAAUCCUUUGGAGCGUUUUCUUCCUUGUUGAACAGCAACUUGACCAGAUCGGUACAGCAUAAAGCAUUGCUGGUCUAAAAAUUUGUUUGUAAAUCAAAAGUUUGUUCUUUAAACAAAGUUUAGAAUUCCUGUUAAUGAGAGGAUAUAAACAUCUCGUAUAUUUGAUGCACUUGGCUUGUAUACUCUCAAUGUGCUCUUUGAAAAGAAGUUUUUUAUCAUAAAUUAGUCCCAAGUACUUAACCUUGUCGGACCAACUUAAAAUAACCCCAUUCAUCUUGACAACGUGAUUAUUGUUUGGCUUGAGAAAAGACGCCCUAGGCUUAUGCGGAAAAAUUAUCAUUUGAGUUUUAGAAGCAUUGGGAGAGAUUUUCCACUUUUGCAAGUAGGAAGAAAAAAUAUCUAAACUUUUCUGCAAUCGACUGCAUAUGACACGAAGGCUUUUUCCUUUUACGGAAAUGCUUGUGUCAUCGCAGAACAAUGACUUUGUGCAUCCUGGAGGCAAAUCAGGAAGAUCUGAAGUGAAUAUGUUGUACAGGACUGGCACCAUGACUGAACCUUGAGGUACACCUGCUCUGACAGGAAAUCUAUCAGAUUUUGAAUUCUGAUAGACAACCUGCAGAGUUCGAGCAGUAAGAUAAUUUUUUAAAAUUUUGAUAAGGAAAAUCGGAAAAUUAAAAGUUUGCAAUUUCGCAAUCAAACCUUUAUGCCAAACACUGUCGAAUGCUUUUUCUAUGUCUAAAAGAGCAGCUCCAGUGGAAUAACCUUCAGAUUUGUUAGCUCGUAUCAUAUUAGUAACUCUGAGCAAUUGAUGAGUAGUGGAAUGCCCAUGGCGAAAUCCAAACUGUUCAUUUGCAAAAAUUGAAUUUUCGUUGAUGUGUGACAUCAUUCUGUUAAGAAUAAUUCUCUCAAACAGUUUACUUAUUGAAGAAAGCAAACUGAUUGGUCGGUAACUUGAAACUUCAGCUGGAUUCUUAUCCGGCUUUAAAAUUGGAGUAAUUUUUGCAUUUUUCCAUAAUUUGGGAAAAUAUGCAAUUUUGAAGCAGCAAUUGAAAAUUUUCACUAAAAAUUCCAUUGUGCUCUCAGGGAGAUGUUUGAUUAGUAUAUUAAAGAUUCCAUCGUCACCAGGUGCUUUCAUAUUUUUGAAAUUUUUAAUAAUUGAUUUAAUCUCAUUCAAGUUAGUUUCAAUUAUUUCUGCAGGUAAAAAAUUCUGGGAAGAAAUUAUAUCAAAUUGACGUGUGACUUCAUUUUCAAUUGGACUCACAAGAUUCAAAUUUGAGUUAUGAACACUCUCAAACUGCUGAGCAAGUCUUUGAGCCUUUUGUUCAUUGGAUACAAGAAAACGUUCACCAUCUUUUAAAACUGGAAUAGGCUUUGAAGGUUUCUUAAGAAUCUUCGACAGCUUCCAAAAUGGUUUUGAAUAUGGUUUCAAUUUUUCAACUUUAGUCUCAAAAUUUUGAUUUCUCAGAAGAGUAAAUCUAUGUUUAAUCUCUUUCUGUAAAUCUUUAUAAAUAGUUUUAAAAACAGGGUCACGAGAACGUUGAUAUUGACGUCUGCGGACAUUUUUCAAACGAAUUAGAAGUUGAAGAUUUUCGUCAAUUAUUGAUGAAUCAAAUUUCACUUGAGCCUUUGGAACAGAAUAAUUCCUGGCAUCAACAAUUGCACAUUUUAAUGCUUCCAAAGCGGAAUCAAUAUUCACUUCGUUUUGCAAAUCAAGCUCAUUAUUGAAAUUUCUCUCAAUAUGAGUUUUGUAUCUUUCCCAAUUAGCCUUGUUAUAAUUAAAAACAGAGCUCAUAGGGUUUAAAACUGAUUCAUGUGAUAAAGAAAAAGUUAUUGGAAGAUGGUCAGAAUCAAAGUCAGCAUGUGUGAUCAAAUCACUACACACAUGACUUUGAUCUGUUAGCACCAAAUCAAUUGUUGAAGGGUUUCUUACAGAAGAAAAGCAUGUAGGACUAUUCGGAGACAAAAUAGAAUAGUAUCCCGAAGAACAAUCAUUGAAUAAAAUUUUUCCAUUGGAAUUACUUUGAGAAUUAUUCCAUGAACGAUGUUUAGCGUUAAAAUCGCCAAUUAUGAGAAAUUUCGAACGAUUUCUGGUGAGUUUUUGUAAAUCACCUUUAAAAUAAUUUUUGAGCUCGCGUGUGCAUUGAAAUGGUAAAUAUGCUGCGGCAAUGAAUAAAAUACCAAGUUCAGUUUGAACUUCAAUUCCCAAAGUUUCAAUAACUUUCGUCUCAAGAUGGGGAAGAGCACGAUGUUUGAUUCGGCGAUGAAUAACAAUUGCAACUCCACCGCCGGAACCCUGAAUCCUAUCAUAUCUAUGAACCACGUAAUUGGGAUCAUAUUUUAAUUUUAUGUUAGGUUUCAAAAAUGUUUCAGUAAUAAUUGCAAUAUGCACAUUAUUUACUGUUAAAAAAUUAAAAAGCUCAUUCUCAUUGGCCUUCAAUGAGCGAGCAUUCCAAUUUAAUAUUUUAAUUGUUUUAUUUAAAAUCAUUGCUAAAUUUUAAAUUAGAAACAAUUUUAAUAGUAAAAUUUGUGCCUAUUUGAAUGGCUUCAAACAUUGAUUUUGCCUGCAACAUGGCGUUCAUAAGAUCGAACAUUGCCUGUUGCAAAAAAGAAAGUUUACCUGCCGUAAUAGGCCCCAGGAAGUUGACAUUAGAAAAAAUAUUUUCGGUAGCAAUAUUAGCUGGUGUGAUAGGUGUACAAUUAUUUUCUAGCGUGUUUUGCUUACCCAUAUUAACGGUCAUUUUCGAACUACCAACACUAGGCGGUAUAAUGUUCGAACUACCUGUAACCUGUGCAUAAGUUAAACGGGUAUGCAAAGGAGUAGGUAAACUAUGCGUCACUGGUACGCUUGGAGAAUUUUGUUUUGAAGUUGGUUUUAAUUGAGAAAUUGAAUUUUGUUUACCUUGCCUUGCCUUAACAAUUGCUAAACGGACUGGGCAUUGAUAAAAAUUUGACAUAUGGUUGCCGUUACAAUUCGCACAGCGAAAAUUUUUACUCUCUUUCACAGGACAUGUGUCCUUUUUGUGAGAAGAGUCUCCACAAUUAAGACAUUUUUGGUCCAUGUUACAGAAUUUGGAACCAUGGCCAUAACGUUGGCAAGUACGGCAUUGGGUGAUAUGCUUUUCACCUCCGCCAUACUUCCUAUAAAUUUCCCACUUUACACGCACAUUAUACAAAGCAUGUGCUUUUUCAAAAAAUUUUAAGUUGUUAACCUCAUUGCGGUUAAAAUGAAUUAAAUAAUUAACAAGGGAAAUUCCAGUUCUCUGACUGUUUUCGCCUCGUGAUUUUUGUUUCAUUAGAAUAACUUGGGUAGGGGCUAUGCCAAGUAAUUCUGUUAAAGUAAGUUUGAUCUCAUCAACGGUUUGAUCGUUGGUGAGACCUUUCAAGACAACCUUGAACGGCUUGGCGUUCUUGGUGUCAUAUGUAAAAAAUUUGUACAUCUUGUCAGUUAAAUACUGGACAAGACGAUCACGACCCUUUACUGAGUCGGCUAAUAAGCGGCAUUCACCUCUACGGCCAAUUUGAUAGGUAACUUUAACGUCAGAAACAAACGUUGAAAGUUCCUUUUUGAAUAUAUUAAAUUCAGAAGAAAUAGUUACCACAAUAGGUGUAACUUUCUCCUUUUUUAAAGAUUUUAUAUUUUGUAUAGUUUCAUUAUUAACAACUUCCAUUUCAUCAGCUUCUUGCUCAGGCAAAAUAUCAAAAGGAUUGUCACUACAGACACUCGAAGUGUCAGAAAGAGAUGCCUCUCUUUUCCUCCCCGCAGCGAUGCGAGGUUUCUUUUUCCGUCCAGCCAUUUCAGGUGAUACGAAAAAAGUUAAAACAAAUGUUAAAUUCAAAAGUAGGAAGUCUUGAGAAAGACUGAUGGGAAAUAACUUUCAGGUAGUCUUUAAAAGACACACUGACAAAACACAAACUUUGAAGCUAUAGGCAGUCAAAGACCAGUCCACAAGCAACCGAAAAAACGUCUGACCUGUAGGACAGUUCAAGACGCACUGCCUGUGUUCUUUAUCGUGGAUCAAACGUGGAUUGAUUUUUUAUUUGAAAUACCAUAUCAGUAUAGAGAAAUCCAUAUACAGCCGUAAGAAUGUACACAGUAUACCAUUACUAAUCAUCGAAAAAAUACACCCAUAUCCUUAGAUAUGAUCAUAAACUAAAUAAAACGAAGCAGAAUUGUAUGUUAUGCUUGGUAGUGAUAAGAAAUAAUAGAAGUAACGGGUGAAAACUAAAAGUUUGGAAGUUUUUACUAUUGCUAUCAAAGAAAAACUGAAUUAUUUCACAUCAAGAUACAUUCAUUAUUACUAUAAAUAAUUGAAGAUUUUAAAAAGGUCCGUUACCGGCCUUCUGACGAAUCCAUCUUAUGAUUUCGAAUGCAUCUGUUGAUUCUACCAAUUGAUCUCUCAUUAUUUUUGCACCGAAGGAUCCCAAAAUCCAAAAGAAAUCUUCGAUUGAACGACACUGAGGUAGAUUCGUUCGUUCGUUUUUAGUUGUCACCCGUUACUCCUACAAAAACAGCGGUCGGAUGGUGAAGCAUCAAACCAAGUCCAGAGCCUGAAAAUUAAUUGAAAGUGUUGUUUAAUAAAAGUACUAAUGUUGAUUGGCUCCAACUGGUAUUAUCCUCAUAUUCUUAGACAAUCAAAAACUUGAACAUGGGUUAUCGUCAAGAUAAAAAUCCAUUAUCGUAACGGGUGACAACUAAAAAUCUGGAAUUUUUUUGAGACUUUCUUACUCCACAACAAACACGCUCAGAGAGGAUUGAGAAUAUGCAUAUAAAAGCUCUAUCUUUCUUCUUCAAGCCAGUAUUUCUUGUUUUGUUUAUGCAUGCAUGUUUUGUUUAUGCUUAUGUAUGCCUUUCGCGUACCUCAACUAUAAUCCGCCAGGAAGUUAGUGAAAGACCGGCCAGAGUAGUGCACAGAAAAGGACUUUUUCCUUUUUGUUAAAUCAUGGUUCAAGGCUAGUGGUUUGGCUAUCAAUAAAAAUAUAUACCAGAACGAAUGUUUGAACAAUUUUAUGAUUCCAUUUGUUCCUAAAUAUUAUACAGAUGAAAAUUAUAUGUUUUGGCCAGAGAAAAUAUCAUCACAGCACGUCAAAAAAACACAAACGUUUCUGAAUAACCACUCGCCUACAUUUGUACCCCAAAUACGCAACCCAACAAAUCCACCUCAGUAUUUUCUUUUGGUGCAAAAAUACCUGGAAAUCAACGAAUUGCGAACAGUUGAUCGGUUAAAUCAAAUGAUGCAUUCGAAAAGCGGACUUGAAGGCCGUACAACGCUCUUGUUUUGGCGUCAAAAGAAAACUUCGUCGGGAGGUCAAAUGUUCAAUAUUUUUCGUUAGUUCACAAUGAAAGUAUCUUCAUGAGAACUAAAUCAGUUUUUCUUUUAGUUUAUUCACCUUUUUUUAACAGCUGUAGAAAAAAAUUCCAAAUUUUUAGUUGUCACCCGUUAACUCUAAAUGGCACCGAAGAGUCCAAUACAAAUUGGAGCCUACCACUAAAAGUGAUUUCCACGUUUCAUUAAAACUUGUAAUAUGCUUGAUGCGUAUUUUUGGAGUCGGAAUGAUGCCAAGAGACUUAAAAACGACUCCAGACGAACCGGAAGUCACCAUGUAGAAUUUAAUAAUGGCUUCUGAAGUCGAUUUCUGAUUCCAUAGACCAUAUAAUUUUGUUUCUCAGCAACCGGAAGUCGCUAUUUUAGAAUUCAAAAUGGCGUCUGAGAACAUUUUAUGGUCUCUGGGCAUCAUCCCGAUUCCGAAAAUACCCGUAGUGCCUGCUAUUUGGAAAAUUCCGUUGUUUUUCAGAAUCUGGAAAUUGCCUUUUGGAAUCUAAAAUAAUGUCUGGGGUCAUUUUCCAGUCGCUGGCUACUCUGGCUCAAUACACCUAUUGUGGCGUAUUCGGCCAUUUUAGGUUGUUUUCUAGAAACGGGAAGUCGUCAUCUUGGAAUUCAAAAUGGCGUCUUGGCUAUUCACCGAUCUCUGGACAUCAUCCCGAUUGUAAAAAUACCUGUCUUAAAGAAUGAGAGCUCCAGGGAAAUCUGAUCCGGAAGGCUCAUUUGGAAUGCUAAACCAGAAUUGUGAGACUCUGAGCAUGAGCAUGAGCAUGAUUGACCGCCCGCGGUUGCUACUCCGUUAUUGCCAGAUCACCUGUAAUUACACAGAGAACCAAUGGAUGAUGCUUGGGAUUAACAUUCAUCCUCAAUGUGUAAAAACUGGUGACCUUAAUCUUUAUAUUAGGCAAUACCAGCGCCGGCCGCAUCCGAAUGCAGGUCAAAGAAGGAAUGUGUAUGGGAAUAUGUUGACGUGAUACUCGCUUUAUUGGAAGCCGAGAACACCUCUGCACUUCCACGAGAAAUCAAUGGGAUGUUGGAGAAAAGGGUAAGGUUUGCAGCAGGUUUCGUUUUGGUAAACGAUGCGCUGAGUUCUAAUACUGGGUUCAUAAUAACAAAUAUCGCGCGUACGAGUUCAUUAUAUCUUCUACGGAAAUCAUAACGCGAUCCGAACUCAUUCCGGUUGAUGAUGUAACACCGCAAAAAUAAAGCGCACGCGAGGAUACCGGACCUAUAACCUAAUCAAGACAGACUCAAAUAUUCGAAAAUAUGCUUAUGAAGUCAUUAUGCAACUACCGAAACGUAUCUCUCAUUGAUUUAUCUCAGCUGACUACACAAUGUUACGAAGCAACCAGAUAUGCAUUAACCAAAAACAAGAAAAAAGUAAAUAUAUAGACCCUCAACACAUACUGCAAGCGGUCAGCAAGAGAGCUUCAAAAACGGCCUAUUUGCUUGGCCAUCGCCGUUAGAAUCGAACGAAAAAAAAACAAGAAAAAGAAAAAAAAAGAUGUGUGCGUCGGCAGACGAGUCGCGUACAAUCCUGAUAAUAAUUAACAAAUAAUUGCGACAUUUGGUGGCGAUUAAUUACAAUGUUUUGUCGCGAUUAAUUAUUUACGAUAUUUAUCGAACGAACGGAACCUACUCUGAAUCACUGCGUGCUGGAAUAGAACCAACGGGUGGACAGUCUGCGAAUAAAUGGUUUGGUACACCUCGUAAGUCACAACACACCGAAAAUCUAUAUUUGAGCAAAGCUCACCUGGGCCGAAAACACGUUUACCCCGGAAAGUUAUGCGCGACCGCUCUAUUCCCUGUUACCGACGCAUACGCGCGGAGACACGGUAUUUCGCGUUGAUUACCGCUUACUUCUUGAAUAAUAAAGCGAAGAUACCUACUGAGUAUGAAAAACUGGCAAAGUUUCAUGCAUUCAUAGCUAGAAAAUUUUUAAAAAUGCAAAUAUGCAUAUCUAACAAGACCGAGUACUAAUUAGAUUUAACAAAAUGCCAAAACAAUCGCAAUCAAAAUUUAUUUGCCAUGCUGACCGACAAGAUUUCUACUUAAUUAAAUUUAAAAUUGACUAUGUGUUUCAGUAUUUACUCAAAAGCUAGAAAAAUCAUAAAACAAGGGCAUAAGACUGCUCAAAAUGUUCGUAACAGCGUCUCCGUUCACCUGAGGAAAUAAUAUCAACAAUGAAGACUGACGCGCAACUGUUUCGACGCAGUUUCGGCCCAAUCGGUAGAUUAAAAAAAUUCAAAACCGGCUUCCACGAAGCCGGGGUCACAAGCAGGGAUGCCACAAACACAGACCAAUCUGUGCAAAACAAAAUUCCCACACAAGUAUAUGUACAUACAGAACUGCAAACGCGCCCUUCAAAAUACAGGCCGAUGUUAGGCCGACGCCACACUGCAAAGGACGCGGCGCGAAAUGCGUCAUUUCUCAGGCUAAUGACAUACUGAGGCGUCAAAUGAAGCGAAGCAAGAAGCGUCGCAAAGGUGUCGGAGCUACUUCUUCGAACGUCUAUAUGAAACGCUCAAACCAUACUCGAGCGGCAACGACGCGUCGGUAGAGGCGGCGAAACAGAACGAGUAGUUUUUUGACGCGCGUAGACGUACGCGGUAAUACCUUGUUCAGACUAAAUCUAUCAUCGCCAGGUGCUUUAUAUUUGUUUCAUUUUGGUUCGGUAAUUGGAAAAAAGCAAAUAGAAUACAUUUUCGUUUAGAAAAUGUUAAAAUGUUUAUAAAAUGUUAGUGCAGUAAUACCAUGUCAGACUAAACCUGAUAUCGCCAGGUGCUUUAUAUUUCGCUUUAUUUUGGUCUUAAAUCUUAAAAAAAGAAAAAGAGGUCAUUUUUCGGAUAGAAAAUAUUAUCGGGAAAAAGUGAUUUACCGUGCUUGAAGAAGCAAACAAAUCUUCAUUGGACGAAUUCAUAUUUCCUCUAAACAAAACCGGUGCUGGAAUCUAGGAAUAUGACAACACAACGCAUUUGCGACGCUCGCUCCAGUAUGUCAUAGGAAGCUUCACCCAACGCUUCUGUUUAUUCCGCUUGUUAUACGCUCAACGCUUCGCCUCAUUUGACGCCUCAGUAUGUCAGUAGCCUCACGCAAGGAGAAAAAAAACAACAAUGAAAACUGGCGCGCGUUAAAACACAUCCCGAACUGUUUCGACGCAGUCAUCCGAACAGCAUCGGCCCCAGUAUGCACCGUACCUACUGUAAACGAUUGAGUGAGAAAAUUCCAAAAACGGCAUCUAAAAAACCGCGAUAACAAUCAGAGAUGCCACAUAUGUAAAUUUAAAUUUAUUUGUGAAUUAUAAAUUUCUCAUCCAUACAGUUUACAGUUUACAGAUUUGUAAAGCCAUAUAGAUUCCUACGAUUUUCUACGAAAUUUACAAAUUUUUAUACAGACUUUUAUACUGGAAAUAUGUAAAACAUUUUCUAUGUUCAGUAUACAGAAAUGUAGGAUCCCCACAAAAUGAAUUGUGAAAAGCAGAAAAAAAACAUUGGUUCCCUUUUGCAUGCAAAUCAAACAAAAAAAAAAAAAAAAACACAGGCAAAACGUCACCAACACUAAUACUUAUCCUUUAAUUCUCGCGUCCUCUCUGAACCAUCAUGCUGGUGCGAGAACGUGCCGCACGCAAGAGCAACCUUGCACUUACUCACACACACUUAUGGCAAGGCAAGGGCUAGCGGGAAACGUGCUCCGCCACCGAAAAGAAAUGCAGCUCUCACAAAUUAGCCACAAAAUUGCACGAAUCUUUCACGGAUUUCAACAUUGACGUCUCUCUCACCGAUAAUACGAAACCGCCACAUUUCGUAUUACCUUUUACUCCGCCCUUUGCACUUAAAAUAUAACGAUUACGCGACGGGAAGGCUAAAUAAAAUACGUCGACAUUAUUGCACUAUCCUCAAUCGUACACGACAACCCUCGUAACACUUCAUCGCGAUUCAAAUCAAACAUUUGGAAUUCACACCGAAACAACAGCGGCCUUCAUUCAAUAAACGUAGACACAUCCCUUUUCCGGAUAGAAAAUAUAUCUUAUAAAAACUUGAAAAAACGAUGAAAAAUUCCGACGAGAAACAUUUUCACGUCCGUUCUUGAUCACAGCUUGCUUCGAUCCGCUAAACCAUAAUUGUGAGAUUCUGUUGAAAAAAUAUGAAGCUAUAAAGUUCCUCAGUUUCGGAGCAUAUCCGUGGAAAACAGGAUUUCCGGGAAUAAGAAAAAUACCUUUAAAGAAACAAUUUUUUCACCUUUCUUGCUGUACAAAAACAUUGUUACUACAUUUUUUUCUCACGGUUACAGAAAUUUAGUGCGUCAUCUUGCCCCGCGGCCAUUGCGUAUUUUUACUCAACAAUGAGUUUUCCAACUGGUUUGAUUUUUAUGCCAUAUUUUCGACAAAAUAAAUUUACCUUACAAACCACAAUUGGGUUGUUAAGCUACUCACGGAUUUCUGAUUUUUAUAUAUCAGGUAAUAGAGUAUAAUUUUCUGAGCAAAACGUGAUUUUCAAAAAUUUUAUAUGAUAUAAAAUUUUUGAAAAUCACGUUUUGGACAAUGGACAAUGGACAAUGAUUGUCCUUCGAUUUGUAAAUGAAAAAUAAAAAAAUCACUCCAAAUCGCUACAAUGACAGUUGGUAUAUGGGCGAACUGUCAUUGUAGCGAUUUCGAACAGUUUUAUUUCGUGAUUUAAAAAUUGAAUGAAAACGAUAGAAUAUUUUUAAAAAUCAGGUUUUGCUUAGAAAAUGCAGCUCUUUCAGGUGACAUAAAAUACUGAUAUAGCUAAACAACCAAAUUAUGCAAGCAUUGUUCAGGUUCUGUUGUUUCCGAGUUUCUGUAGUUUUCGAAUAAGAGAAUCGUAAUUCCCAAAACUGAGAAAAUUAGAUCAAAACACAACUUUCCUCAUACCUUCCCAAUAUUUAAACGGAAUCAUGUUUACAUGUGUGAAUAACGUCAGUCGUCAAUGCUGCAAAUUCAUACGAUGUUGCCAGUUUAUUUUGCUCGUAUGUUUCGAAAAGACCAAUGCGUACUUUUGCCCCUCACCCAGUCAACAUUUUCAUACGUAUAAUAAUGUUUUGAUUCCAAUACCCGCACUCAUAUAUAUCAUAAAUACUCGCAUUUGAUGCCCUAAAACAGCAUAUAAAUACUAUUUUGGAGGCGAUAUACGUACUGAGGAAUAAUAGUAUGCAAUUCAUUGAUAUACGUAUUUAUAUACGAUAAUUUCCGAUUGAAAGUGAUUUGUUUCAUGCUAUAAUUGUAAGCCUACAAUCGUAAAUCGGUUAGACUCCACUAUGAUAUACAAUUAAAACUGAAUUUCUGCGCAUGAUAUUAAGCGUGGUAUACGAUUUCGACUUUGUUAAGAAAUAUUUGCGAUAAUUUUCAUGCAUUGAUAUACGAUUUGUGGUUGGGCACUGGGCACUGUUCUAUUGUUCAAACCACUAAUUACUAAACAUUUAACGUAGGUCGUUAAAUUAGGUGAGGAACAAGUUGACCUUGCCAUUCCGAUCACUUUUUCGAAAUCGAGCUUCAAACAAUUCAACGCAUGGCGCGCGACUACAUUCAAAGCAACGCAACAUGUUGUGACUGUGAUGUGUCUGUGUGAGUGUAGUGUAUAUUACUCCGUUAUUGACUUGUUGCCACUGUUUGCAUAAGUGAGCCUUUAACUUUGGAUGUAUUCACAAAUAACGUAAGGCAAAAAUUGCAUUUUCGACUCCCUUUCUCCCCAUUCGUAUAGUUUAUUAAUAUACCAAAUUCAUGGAAAAUUAAAAUCACGUUUUUCUGAUAAAACCUAACAUGGCGGCGAGAUCCAAAAUGGUGGCCAUUUUUCUCUACUUCAAAUAAAAUUUUUAUCAUUCCUUUUUGAAACGACGUGCUGUUUGUAGUAAGCUUAAUGACAUGAAUAGAAAUAGAUCGAUAAAAAGAUCAAGAAUUGUUCUAAAUAAAGGUAACUUUUUUAAAAACUGUUUGGUCACUUGGUGUCCGAGGGAUCCAUCGAUAUGAACUUACCAAAGUACUUACUUCAUUUUAUGGCGACAGAUCGUUGAGAUCAUAUGCCGAAUCCAGAGUACAUCUCCACAAAACUCGGCUGCUUCUCUCCAGUCUCCCCUUACACCCGCUGCUCUGGCAUCCUCGUCGACAGCACACAUCUAGCGCGUGCGAGGUCUGCCUCGAAGUCGUCGGCCUUUAUCCGGUUCUCUCUGAGCUCUAUUCGCAGGUGCGUUUCACUGUAUCGUACGUCAAUAAACAGAUGAUGUGUCUGCAAGUUGUGUUCUGGGAACUUUUCGAAUAUCUGUCGUACGGUAAACAUUUGGUCUGCUGUAGAUCGUCGCACUCCAAAACCGCAUUAGUAUUCUCCAACAAAGGCUUCCUGUAACGGCUUCAGUCGCUGGAACAGGAUACGGGAGAGAAUUUUCGAAAGGAAAUAUAAGAGGGUUAUGCUUCGAUAAUUACUAUAGUCGAAUCGAUGUUUCUUCUUGUAGAUAGGGCAAAUGAGUCCUUCCAUCCAAUUUAUGGAUAGUUAUUCCUCAGACCAUACCCCUAGGACAAUCUGGUGAAUUGCAAUACACAGCCGCUCGCUUCCGACUUUGAAAAGUUCGACCAGUAAGCCGUCCUUCGUAGCGGCUUUGUGGUUCUUCAGCUCUUUGCAAGCAUUCUUCACCUCACCUAAUGUUGGUGGGUUCACAGCUUAUCUGUCCUCUCCAAUUCAUAUCCUGCUCCCCUCGACGACUCUCAUACCUUUCUCACUGUUCAACACCACUGCAAAAUGAUGCUUCCAACGCCUGGCCACCUGCGAUUUAUUGUUAAUCAGGCUCCCGCCCUGUCAUUACACCUGGCAGGUACCGGCACGGUCCGGUUCCUGGUUCUGUUGAUCGUUCUAUAGAAGCUCCUCGUGCCGUGCCUGGUGAAGCAAUUCUCCGCAUCCGCGAAGACGCGAUCGUAGUGCUUACGUUUCUUACGGCGGUGGAGCUUCUUUUCUUCUUGGAGCUCUGCUGAGUUGAACAAACGGAUAAGAAUAUUAUAAAAUCAAAUAUCUGUUGUAUUUCUGAUGAGUAAUGUGCAAAAAUACACAGGGGUUUUCUUCUUUCAUACCUUUUUAAUAUUCCAAUGCUAAUAGCUGAUAUUUUCAUUCUUUUUGACCAACCAUACAACACUUACAUCUUGUAUAAUUUCGACUGUACCACAAACACUUUUUUUUUGGUUACUGAAAAUUCGAGUUUUUUCUGUGCUUUCACUACAUGAAAUUCAUCGUCAAUGAGGACGCAUGGUUUCUUGUAUUUCAUUACAGAACCAAGCGUGUCCAUCUUCAAUCCAACAGUGCGCUCAGAAACCUUCUGUGUUUUUCAAGUUUACUAGUCUUCUAACAUCUAUCUCGUUACUUCUGCAGUUACUAAAGUUUGGAAAUAAAAUCACUCACGGUCGAAAAAAUAAAGUAUAACGAGUUCAAGGUGAUGUGGCACUGUCGCAUAACAUCCGGUAAACAAGGUAAACAGUAUGCAGUAAGCAGGGUUACUGGAACCAACAACACUAUGUUAUGUACCAAAUGCAGAUGAAUUAUGAUAUUAGUCCUGUUGAAACGAUGUUCGAAGGCUAGCACGUUUGGCAUUGAAGACAGCAUGUAAUAGAUGAAAGCUUCUCAAUAAAUGAAAUAUAUCUCGCUAUAUUUUGAAUUGAAAUUUUACGUAAAAUAACGAAAAGGUCACUCAAAAGCUCCCCUCUUUAAUUGAUACGUAAUUAGUGGCACACAUUUCUCCUCAUUUGCGCACAGAUUAACUUAAAAAUCCCAUUACAAUAUGCGUCAGUCAGUGCAUAUAUGUGUAGUUAUAAAUGUGCGCUCAUCAUGUGUAAGCUGUGAACCAGGUAAACGUAUUUCCUUUAGGGCGUGAACCAUAUGGCAAAGGGACGUGCAGGAAACAAUAUCGUAAACAUGCAUCACACGUCCCCUGGAAGCUGGAAGAUGCUAGAAGUUUACGCUGCUUCUCACAACAACAACCGAGCAGGUGCAAAUUGCGCUUUCCAUCACGUGCUAGCCCAAUGUGUGUUGGUUUGUUGGUUGCCCGCUCCAGUGGAGUACCGUUUAACGCCGUCGGUGCCUUCGAGUGUUGCCGUAGUUCCGUUUUACCUAUAUCAUGAUGCAUCCCGUUGUGAUAUACAUAUAUGCACAGAAUAAUCAGUUCGACAUGGAACUGUAGACUGAUAUAAUUCAAAAUUUUACGCCAUAAUAUUAUUUAUCAUUGUGGCAGAAAGUGCCACCGAAUAGUUUAACCGUUUACAAUAUUUCACAUCAUCAGCUCAAUUCCGCAGUCUUAGCAAAAAAAUCGUAGCCUGUCUGAAUGUGCCGCGAUAUGUCACCCAAUUUUGGUAACAGAUGCUAGUAUUAAAAAACUUUCCUAUUCCCAGCGUAGAGCGCAGAUUCGUUAUCACACGAUUCGCGUUCGGCCAAGGAGGUGCACAAAAAAUGGCCCCAGUUUGCCAUUUCCACUUUAUUCCUAUCCGACUUCUGGCUGGGGCCAGAAAAGAAAGGUGACAUUUUGUAAGCCCUCUAUCGUCGGUUGGUUUCCCAACGCCGGAAAGAAUUUUUAUUGCUGGUAGAAGUUGGGUACACGUUCUCGACUGAGCUCACUUAUGGUUUGUAUAUCAGUGCCUCUUACAAUCACAGCCAAGGCUAGAAGUUGACAAUACUAUGUACAUUCCCAUGUGGACCAAAUUCAAACGAUAUGAAAAAAGUAUAAACAGCUUCCAGCUGCUUCGUUCUUUUUUUUUUGCGUCAGUGAGGAACCUGAGCGCGCAAUGACCAGAAGGGCAAAAGUUUAUCAUUCGUUUACUCGAAUCGCGUAGGCAAACGUGACAUCAUCGUUGGGUAAAGUUUUUGGAAAAUAAAUUUAUUUUCAAGAGAACUUUAAACACAACUCUAGGAUCAGCUCCCAUGGUUGUUUAGAGCACAAGGUUUGUACCAGCGGUUGCCAAAACUAAAUGUGCCUGGGAAAAUUGGUAUCUUGAGAAGGCUUACUUGAAAUGAUCGAUUUCCGAAGGUAGGUACAUGAUUUUAUUUUCGUUUCAAUUAAAGUCUAAUCUUAAAUCACUGAAGUUUGAAAAUAAAACCACCUCGAUCUAGCAAGGUCAGUAAUAAUUCCAAAUUUCACUAUACGAUUGCAUUCUAAUUUCAUUGAGUAUUCAACUCAUCAAAAUUCUUAUUUCGAGGAAGUUUCUGAAGUAAACGAUUAAGAUAGUAUUUACUUUAAUAUUGCAUCACAUUGUACCUUUUCACCAGACCAACGCUACCGGGGCCAAUCGUGAAGAUUACCUGCGCCAGUCUUUCGUUCGUGAAUAUGCUAAUUUCCAGCAACCGUUUUGUUUCUUUCCUUUACUAGCGCUUCCGCUUCUCGUUCGGGUGACCAUUAGCCAUCCAAAUCAGCAAUGACGCCGUACAAAUGACGACAGCAGUCCAACUUUUAUCUUGCAUUAUUACUCUAGAGCGAAGAAUUUUCUGAGACUUAGCGAAGGGGUGAGCUGAUUACCGCCCUUACCGUUGUAGACAGCAUUUGUAGAAGUGUAAAGGUGGCUGUUGAGUAGCUAAUUAGAGGUUUGUUUUUUCCUGGACACUCGUGUGAAAGUUGAACAAAGAGAUUAAUUAAAUAUAAGCACUUGAGUCGCCGGAAGAGCUCCGUUAAUAGUUGAUUACUAGUACUACUGUAAUCAUAAUAAUUGUGAAAACAUACAUUCGGUGUCUGUAACUCGAAUAGUUUGACUCAGCAGUCAUAAACAAACAACUGUCAAAACCAACCGAGAUUAACUUUUCUUCUGUGUGUUUUUCACUUUCGAUCAAAGUGUCGGUCAAGUUACAAUCAUCAUCUUCGACCGCAACAGAAAAUAAAACAAAAUCCCUAUCAUUGCGUUCAACGAAUUCGACAAUUCGAUUACAGUCACCAUGAUGAUGAUGGACAAUACUCUGCGCCCUUGUAUAUCUAACCGCAAUUCGGAGGCGUAUCAUGCCUACCAUCAGGCGAGUAUUGUGGGGUCUAUGAUUUAUGUUCAUUCCCUUUCGACAAUUUCAUGAAAAUCGGACGCCUGUAUCUGACCUUAGCCCGGUACUCCCGGUGCCCUGCCAGCAUAGACGAUUGCCGCCACUCAGCGAAGAGCUGGAAUCGAAAAUAAAAAGUACACACUCAUCGAUAAAACCAACAAUGAUUGAUUGAUUAAUUUGGAUAUCACAUUUUUCACAUUUUCUUCUCCAAUAUGUACCUACCUACCGUUUGCACAGAUAUCUCCUAUGAACAGCAUACAACACAUUUUAUCCUCCCAUACCAGCGCACACAUUUGCUUCACUAUCACGAAAACGAUCAGAUUGAACUACCAAGGCGAUUGCCAAUCAGUCAGUGAAAAACUGGAACGGCUUUUUUCUCUUCCGACGCAUUCGGUGGAGUCUUCCGUUACGUUCUGGGUUUGUGUGUUAUGUAUGAAUAACGCGCCUUCGCACCAAUAGCCGGGCUUUAGGAAGCGCAGAAAAAUGGAUCGUAACCAUUAGCCUUGCGGCGAAAAGGUCCAAGCACUGCGAAUUCGUUUGCCCCACUAGUGGAUUCAUACUUGGGAACAGUCAACGAAGCGCAAAACUAGACUUGUCAAAUCAUCGUCAGUGUGCUCAGCAGCGAGAUCACAUCCUCCCCAACGUUGGUCUUUUUCUUCCAUUGGAGCAAGCUGAAUUUCAAGUAAGGUUCAGAAAAAAACCGCAGCGGAUGAAUCUUUUCGAAUCGAUUGUGUAAUUGAUGUAUAUGCAGAUAUGAUGAAGCGCCUUUUUAGAGUAAAUAUAAUUCAAUGAUACAGAUGUUUAAGCAAAUCAUUCUUGUAAAGGAUGUGUAGGAAUAGGAAGUGAGAAAUGAAAUGUGUACUACCAUUCUAUGGUUUCGACCUGGUGCCUGUCCUGACGAUACAUUCUGUUGGAUUGAGAUAUUGUAAAUUUUUAUUUCGAUAAGUUUCACUAAAGCAUCCUUUUUAAUACAAAUUUUACUUAAACAUCAGUAUUAGGUGUCAGCACAUUUGUCAGUCAGUACCGGAAAACGAUUUUCGUUUUCGAUUAUCACCCUAACUGUCUAUAGGAAUGUUUCUGUUUAAUUGGUUGAAGUGUGAAAUAAA